rnacentral:rRNA from 1 species
UACGUAGGGUGCGAGCGUUAAUCGGAAUUACUGGGCGUAAGGCGUGCGCAGGCGGUUUGCUAAGACCGAUGUGAAAUCCCCGGGCUCAACCUGGGAACUGCAUUGGUGACUGGCAGGCUAGAGUAUGGCAGAGGGGGGUAGAAUUCCACGUGUAGCAGUGAAAUGCGUAGAGAUGUGGAGGAAUACCGAUGGCGAAGGCAGCCUCCUGGGCCAAUACUGACGCUCAUGCACGAAAGCGUGGGGAGCAAACAGGAUUAGAUACCCUGGUAGUCCACGCCCUAAACGAUGUCAACUAGUUGUUGGGGAUUCAUUUCCUUAGUAACGUAGCUAACGCGUGAAGUUGACCGCCUGGGGAGUACGGUCGCAAGAUUAAAACUCAAA